GACGAACGCUGGCGGCGUGCUUAACACAUGCAAGUCGAACGAAGUGGCGAACGGGUGAGUAAUACGUGGGUACCCUGCCCUCCUGUAUGGGAUCAGCCUUGGAAACGGGGUCUAAUACCCGAUAAAGGGUGGUGGGCUCGGGGCCUAUCAGCUGGUUGGUGGGUUGAUGGCCUACCAAGGCGGUGACGGGUAGCCGGCCUGAGAGGGUGACCGGCCACAUUGGGACUGAGAGACGGCCCAGACUCCUACGGGAGGCAGCAGUGGGGGAUAUUGGACAAUGGGCGAAAGCCUGAUCCAGCCAUGCCGCGUGUGUGAAGAAGGUCUUCGGAUUGUAAAGCACUUUAAGUUGGGAGGCGUUACCAACAGAAUAAGCACCGGCUAACUACGUGCCAGCAGCCGCGGUAAUAC
rnacentral:rRNA from 1 species